rnacentral:lncRNA from 1 species
AGGUACGUACUUAUUAAGCGCUCGAAUAAAUAUUACAUAAUUAACACAUUUGCAGGCAGUCUGUAGCAUCUCUGCCUACCAGGGCUUUCACCAGUGAUCAUAAAAUAGAUUUUGCACGUAAAUUUUUUUGUUUUGGAACUUGUAGGAAGUGUUUUGGCCUAAUCGACUUAUUAAUUCUAAGCAGUUGGUAAUUUUAAGCAGCUGAGGGCUCUGAGCAUGUGCUCACUAACUAAUUUAGGUUACCUACUGCUGUUUGUAUUAAUAUUUCAGUGCUUCACCAGCUCUCUCUCUUCCAACUCUUCUUUUACAUAAUAAGAAUGGCACCUCAACUUUCUACUGUAAGUUAAAGAAGUGUAAAUAUAUACAGUAAGAUGGUAUCGGUAGAAAAUUUCAAUUCCUUACUAAAUUAUCGACUUCCCAUUUUUACUAUAAAUACCGUGUUAAUUUUUUUUGGUUAUUCAAAAUGUGGUGAUUUACUCAAGUUCUUCCCAGAAGCAGAAAGCUGAAAUCUUUUUAUCUAGAUAUCUCUUCUGCUUCUUCUCCUCGUGAUGUUGUAACAGCUAUAGCUUACCUGUAUCAACUUUGUGAUUGGUAGAGUGUGAAUUGUUAGCUCAGUAGCAUAGUCUACGCGUAUUUGAUGGUUUUAGUCACUUGUAAAUCACCCUGUGAUACUGGCAACUCCGAUGAUUGACUCCUAUAUUGUAGCCAGCUAUAAGUAAUCAGUAGUCAAAGAGCGCAAUAUUUAAGCACAUCCUUGAAUGCAUAAAACAUAAGAGCAUAAUGCACUAGUAUGUUUUCGAUUUAUUGCAAGUGAUGCAUUUGAAGUCAGAUUAUGCAGGACCAUAAACACAGAACAUCUAAUUAUGACUAAAUAAAUAAAUAUGAGGCCUAAUUUGGAAAUGAGUCAAUAAUGUUUGCCAAACAUAUGUUAUCCUAUUUUUGACAACCACUUCAUACUUCUGCACAAAACAAGGAAAUUUGCUUCUGUUUUAUCCACAGGUUGAAUUGCCUACUCUAUUCUUCUCCUAAAGCCCUUCGAAGCAUUUUUAAACCAGAUGCAGAGAAUUAAGAAUCAAAAACCAUGGAGACAGAACAAGAACGAGCACGAGACCUGGAUAUAAUUGGCGUGAUCAAAGAAUCAUUUAACCUUGUUAUUUCAUGGAAGACAAU